UACGUAGGGCGCGAGCGUUGUCCGGAUUUAUUGGGCGUAAAGAGCGUGUAGGCGGCCAGACAGGUCAGCUGUGAAAACUCGAGGCUCAACCUCGAGACGUCGGUUGAAACCGUCUGGCUAGAGUCCGGAAGAGGAGAGUGGAAUUCCCGGUGUAGCGGUGAAAUGCGCAGAUAUCGGGAAGAACACCCGUGGCGAAGGCGGCUCUCUGGGACGGUACUGACGCUGAGACGCGAAAGCGUGGGGAGCGAACAGG
rnacentral:rRNA from 1 species